rnacentral:misc_RNA from 1 species
UUUCCGUAGGUGAACCUGCGGAAGGAUCAUUACAGAGUUCAUGCCCUCACGGGUAGAUCUCCCACCCUUGAAUAUUUAUACCUUAGUUGCUUUGGCAGGCCAUGGAAACACCAUGGGCUCCGGCUUAUGCGUGCCUGCCAGAGGAAACAAACUCUGUUUUUAGUGAUGUCUGAGUACUAUAUAAUAGUUAAAACUUUCAACAACGGAUCUCUUGGCUCUC